CCUCUGAUAGCUCAGUUGGUAGAGCGGCGGUUGUUGUUGCACAAACAGCCACAGGUCGCCGGUUCAAAUCCGCCUCAGAGGA
rfam:Trichuris suis scaffold6.9, whole genome shotgun sequence.